UCAGCUUGGGGAUAUGGUUUUAGUGGACCUUUGGUUGGGGUUUUCUUCCAAGCCUGUCUGAAACCCUUCAAAACCUCGUUUUUUCAGUGGUGGCUUUUGCAUUUCUCUUUAUAUAACAAACUUCUGCAUUGCUCCUACUCCAGGACCUAAAAGCACAACUGUGAAAUCAGAUUUCCUGCUGCUGUCUUUGACUCAGCCAAGGCCAGGGAAUCCAUAAUGUCUCUGCCCACCAGGAAGAAGAGGAGUCCAGAGAGUAACACCAGGGGCACCCCGGCGGCGGCGAACAUGAAGGACCACCCGUAGUAGACGUGCACGGGGACAUCAUCCAGGCACCUCUCGCUCCUCUCCAGGAGGAUGUACUUCUGAAAGUCAGCUGCAAACUCCUUCCACAUCACAAAGAGAAACACGAGCAGGAGAAACAAACCUCCUGGGAAGAGAGACAAAACGGAGUUAUUGUCUGUGCAAGAAAUACAGGGCUAAAGGUUCCUGAGGAAGCUGAGGUCACUGGCCAUGGGAGAGCCCCACACCACAGCGACCAGUUCCUGCCCUCUGACACCUCGUGCUUUGGCCACCAGCUCUUCUGAAGGCUCUGCUUCAGCAGGACCAGGCCAUGGAGAAGGCAC